GUUCUGCUUUCUUGUGGUCUGGAC
rnacentral:siRNA from 1 species